CGGUCACGUCACGUUGAAAUAUCGGUUCCCGUUUUGUCACCGAAGUUAAGCACCGUCGAGCUUGGUCAGUACCUGGAUGGGGGACCGUUUGGGAAUUCCAGGUGCUGUAAG